rfam:Oryza barthii chromosome 7, whole genome shotgun sequence.
AAAAACUCAAUUCCUAGGUUUUCUUCUAACAUGUGACUGUUUGUCUUAUUUAAAAAAAUUUAAAAAGAUAAGUUAUGCACAAAGUAUUAUUCAUGUUUUAUCAUCUAACAAUAAUGAAAAUACUAAUCAUAAAAAAAUUUCAUAUAAGACGGACGGUCAAAUGUUAGACACGAAAACCGAAGAAUUCAGUCUUU